rnacentral:sRNA from 1 species
AAGAGUUGUCUUUUCUUUGUAAGGUACCAAGUCCCUGGAAUCGGUUUAACCGGAGAUAGGGAUUCCGGUACCGUAAAGCACCGCGGCUCUG